rnacentral:rRNA from 1 species
UACGUAGGGUGCGAGCGUUAAUCGGAAUUACUGGGCGUAAAGCGUGCGUAGGCGGUUCGCUGUGUCCGAUGUGAAAGCCCCGGGCUUAACCUGGGAAUGGCAUUGGAAACUGGCGGGCUUGAGUGCGGCAGAGGGGGGUGGAAUUCCGCGUGUAGCAGUGAAAUGCGUAGAGAUGCGGAGGAACACCGAUGGCGAAGGCAACCCCCUGGGCCUGCACUGACGCUCAUGCACGAAAGCGUGGGGAGCAAACAGG